GAUGAAGAACGCAGCGAAAUGCGAUAAGUAACGUGAAUUGCAGAAUUCAGUGAAUCAUCGAAUCUUUGAACGCACAUUGCGCCCGUCAGUAUUCUGGCGGGCAUGCCUGUUCGAGCGUCAUUACGCCCCUCAAGUCCCCUGUGGACUUGGUGUUGGGGAUCGGCGAGGCUGGUUUUCCAGCACAGCCGUCCCUUAAAUUAAUUGGCGGUCUCGCCGUGGCCCUCCUCUGCGCAGUAGUAAAACACUCGCAACAGGAGCCCGGCGCGGUCCACUGCCGUAAAACCCCCCAACUUUUUAUAGUUGACCUCGAAUCAGGUAGGACUACCCGCUGAACUUAAGCAUAUCAAUAAGCGGAGGA
rnacentral:misc_RNA from 1 species